rfam:Alligator mississippiensis ScZkoYb_366, whole genome shotgun sequence.
CGCGCGUGGGGCGUGUGCGGGCUGCCGCGUGCGUGCGUGGGGUGUGUGCGGGCCCCGCCGUGUGCGCUACACGUUGAUCUUAUUCGAUCGGGCCGGGACGGCGCCCGCCCGGCCCGAGAUGAGAAGACCCCUCCGGCGAAGCCUGCGGGCGCUGUGCGGGAGCAGAUCGGGGCGGCGCGGCCGGCGCGGCCGCGGGUCGGACGUGAUGACUUGAUCAGAUAGACGAGGCGGAGCUGCCGCCUGUGAGUGCUGAUGCGAUUCUGAUCCGA